AGUGAACGCUGGCGGUAGGCCUAACACAUGCGAGUCGAACGGCAGCACAGUAAGAGCUUGCUCUUACGGGUGGCGAGUGGCGGACGGGUGAGGAAUACAUCGGAAUCUACUUUUUCGUGGGGGAUAACGUAGGGAAACUUACGCUAAUACCGCAUACGACCUACGGGUGAAAGCAGGGGAUCUUCGGACCUUGCGCGAUUGAAUGAGCCGAUGUCGGAUUAGCUAGUUGGCGGGGUAAAGGCCCACCAAGGCGACGAUCCGUAGCUGGUCUGAGAGGAUGAUCAGCCAAACUGGAACUGAGACACGGUCCAGACUCCUACGGGAGGCAGCAGUGGGGAAUAUUGGACAAUGGGCGCAAGCCUGAUCCAGCCAUACCGCGUGGGUGAAGAAGGCCUUCGGGUUGUAAAGCCCUUUUGUUGGGAAAGAAAAGCAGCAGGUUAAUACCCCGCUGCUCUGACGGUACCCAAAGAAUAAGCACCGGCUAACUGCGU
rnacentral:rRNA from 1 species